UGCAUUGGCCGGGAAUCGAACCUGGGCUGCCCGCGUGGCAGACGAGCAUUUUACCACUGAACCAUCGAUGC
rnacentral:tRNA from 1 species